rnacentral:misc_RNA from 1 species
GCUCCGUAGGUGAACCUGCGGAGGGAUCAUUACAGAGUUCAUGCCCUAACGGGUAGAUCUCCCACCCUAUGUUAUCAUCACUUUGUUGCUUUGGCGGGCCGUCAGGCCUCGGCUUGGCUACCGGCUCUCGCUGGUAAGCGCCCGCCAGAGAACCCCAAACCCUGAAUAUCAGUGUCGUCUGAGUACUAUAUAAUAGUUAAAACUUUCAACAACGGAUCUCUUGGUUCCG